rnacentral:hammerhead_ribozyme from 1 species
AUCUAGCUAAAGACGAGUCCCAAUUAAGACGAAACACGUGUCCUGGAU